rnacentral:rRNA from 1 species
UACAGAGGGGGCAAGCGUUGUUCGGAAUUACUGGGCGUAAAGGGCGCGUAGGCGGCCCGCUAAGUCGAACGUGAAAUCCCCGAGCUCAACUCGGGAACUGCGUCCGAUACUGGCGGGCUUGAAUCCGGGAGAGGGAUGCAGAAUUCCAGGUGUAGCGGUGAAAUGCGUAGAUAUCUGGAGGAAUACCGGUGGCGAAGGCGGCAUCCUGGACCGGCAUUGACGCUGAGGAGCGAAAGCGUGGGGAGCGAACAGG